rnacentral:sRNA from 1 species
UGCUCGUGAGCGUGUGUGACGAGCGUCCGUGCUGAAAUAUAUUUUUUCGCUGCGAGCUACAAAAAAAGGCACUAAAACCACACAGCGUCCACAACAACAACAACAACAGCAGCAACAAUAAUAACAAAUCAAAAGACAAUUUAUACCAUCAGUGAAAAAAAAAACAAUAACAAUAACGAAACGGUAAACAACGCAACGGUACUUUAGGCCAGGCGUCAGGCCCAUUGACCAAAUGGCGCUGCUGCUGCCAAUGCCGAGGAAUGGCUUUGGCUUGAACUUUUACUGGUAUUCCCAGCUUACCUAAAAAGUACACUGCGACUGCGAGCGAGAGCGAGAGCGUCAGUCUCUUGGCAGCUGGGCAACGCACAAAACAUGGGGCCGAAGAAGCGUGCCAGCGUCGCUGAGCGACUCCAGCGCUCCGCAACAGCUGCUCCAACGACGACGACGACGACGACGUCAGCAUCGGCGGCGAUGGUCUCGUCCGGAGCGCCGACGACGUCAACGGCUAAGAAACGCAGCGGCGGCAAGCAGCAAAAGCUAACGGAUGAGCCGGAUGAGAAGAAGUGCGCCAAAUCCGAGGCAAUAACAACAACAACAGCAGCAACAACAACAACGAAGC